UACGUAGGGGCGAGCGUUGUCCGGAUUUAUUGGGCGUAAAGAGCUCGUAGGUGGUUUGGUAAGUCGGAUGUGAAAUCUCCAGGCUCAACCUGGAGGGUCAUUCGAUACUGCCAUGACUAGAGUCGGUGAGGGGAGUGUGGAAUUCCUGUGGAGCGGUGAAAUGCGCAGAGUAUCAGGAGGAACACCCGUAGCGAAGGCGGCACUCUGGGCCGAUACUGACACUGAGGAGCGAAAGCGUGGGGAGCGAACAGGA
rnacentral:rRNA from 1 species